rnacentral:rRNA from 1 species
GAUGAACGCUGACAGAAUGCUUAACACAUGCAAGUCGAGGGAGAGGUUAUCUUCGGGUAACCAAAACCGGCGCACGGGUGCGUAACGCGUAUACAAUCUGCCUUUCACAUAGGGAUAGCCCGAAGAAAUUUGGAUUAAUACCUAAUGGUAUAUAAGAGCGGCAUCGUUUUUAUAUUAAAGCUACGGUGGUGAAAGAUGAGUAUGCGUUCUAUUAGCUAGUUGGAGAGGUAACGGCUCCCCAAGGCGACGAUAGAUAGGGGUUCUGAGAGGGAUGUCCCCCACACUGGUACUGAGAUACGGACCAGACUCCUACGGGAGGCAGCAGUGAGGAAUAUUGGACAAUGGUCGGAAGACUGAUCCAGCCAUGCCGCGUGCAGGAUGAAGGUCCUAUGGAUUGUAAACUGCUUUUGUAAGGGAAGAAUAAGGAGUACGUGUACUUUGAUGACGGUACCUUACGAAUAAGCAUCGGCUAACUCCGUGCCAGCAGCCGCGGUAAUACGGAGGAUGCGAGCGUUAUCCGGAAUCAUUGGGUUUAAAGGGUCCGUAGGCGGGCUGAUAAGUCAGAGGUGAAAGCGCUUAGCUCAACUAAGCAACUGCCUUCGAAACUGUCAGUCUUGAAUGAUUGUGAAGUAGUUGGAAUGUGUAGUGUAGCGGUGAAAUGCUUAGAUAUUACACAGAACACCGAUAGCGAAGGCAUAUUACUAACAAUUUAUUGACGCUGAUGGACGAAAGCGUGGGGAGCGAACAGG